rfam:Brassica napus, WGS project CCCW01000000 data, contig: 6687
ACACGUCUUCUCGGUAUUUCUUUGUCUAUAUUCUUGGAAAAAGCGAUGAGGUCUCGUUGCACUUUCCCAAAUGUAGACAAAGCAAAACCGUGAUGACGUCAA